ACACCGAUAAAUUACUUCAUUAUAAAUAAGUAAAAAUAAUUUAAAGUAGAUGCAACUUAUCAAAUAAAAGAUAAGUUCUAUAAUCUACUUGGAUAUUAGCCAGCAUCCUUCUUCAACCUUGAUGCCAUAUUCCAAGUGCCAAUAUUUCUUGAUUUCACCAUCCCAAGGCUUUUAAACUUAACAUAAUUAUUAGAAUUUAAGUCUAAUACUAGUAUAUAUUAUUAUUUUUUAAUCUAAUUGGUAAAUUGCUAUAAAUCUUAGAA
rnacentral:lncRNA from 1 species